rnacentral:lncRNA from 1 species
CGAGGGUGGAGAGAGGAAUUUUGUUGUCACAGAAUAAAAGGAGGUUAUCCAUAAUUGACUUGAAGCAGCAAACAGUGAAACACUGAGCUCUUCAGCUCCACCUUUCUUGCUCCAAGAAUUGGAAAACCAAAAGGUUUUGAUGUUUUGUGUGAACCCAAAUUAGAAACUAAGAUGAACAUCACCAAAGGAGGUCUGGUGAAGUUUUCAGCAAAUUCUAACUCAUUCUGUAUGGAGCUUUCAAAGAAACUUUCUGAACAGCUGGGGUUGGUGAUAGGCAAAGUGCAGGUUUACCAGGAAACUAGCCAAGAAACAAGAGUACAGAUUCAGGAGUUGUGAGGGGGAAAGAUGUUUUCAUCAUCCAGACUGUCUCAAACAGUAGGAGAUGAGGAAAAGGCUCCAUCAUCUCUAAAUUAUUGGCUUCCAACAUGCACAAAGCUGGUGUAACCCGCCUCAUUAC